AGAGUUUGAUCCUGGCUCAGAACGAACGCUGGCGGCGUGCUUAACACAUGCAAGUCAAGGAGAAAGUCUCUUCGGAGGCGAGUAAACUGGCGCACGGGUGAGUAACGCGUGAGGAACCUGCCCAUAUGUCUGGGAUAACCUGCUGAAAAGCGGGCUAAUACUGGAUAUAUUGUUUACCGCAUGGUGAACAAGGAAAGUUGGUGUAAGCUAACGCAUAUGGAUGGUCUCGCGUCUGAUUAGCUAGUUGGUGGGGUAAAGGCUCACCAAGGCUACGAUCAGUAGCCGGUCUGAGAGGGUGGCCGGCCACACUGGGACUGAGACACGGCCCAGACUCCUACGGGAGGCAGCAGUGGGGAAUUUUGCACAAUGGGGGCAACCCUGAUGCAGCGACGCCGCGUGAACGAGGAAGGCCUUCGGGUCGUAAAGUUCUUUCGACGGGGAAGAAAUGUUAUACGAGUAACUGCGUAUAAUUUGACGGUACCUGUAGAAGCAGCCCCGGCUAACUCCGUGCCAGCAGCCGCGGUAAUACGGAGGGGGCGAGCGUUGUUCGGAGUUACUGGGCGUAAAGCGCACGUAGGCGGUGCGGUAAGUCAGGGGUUAAAGGUCACAGCUCAACUGUGAUAAGGCCUUUGAUACUAUCGUGCUAGAGUGUCAGAGAGGGUAGCGCCUUAUCCU
rnacentral:rRNA from 1 species